AUGAUGUUAAGGUUUUGAUGAAAGCGCACGUGGGCGGGUCGGGGCGGGUCUGGUUUUGUGUGGUUCUUUGCAUUUUUCCUUGUCACGCACCGCGUAGGACUCAGCAGGGGCUAGGCCGUGAACGCGGCUCUCUGCUCUUACUGUGGCGCCUGAAAGACCUGGGAGGUUCUCCCGGGCGGUCUUUGUGGCCUCCCUGUUCCCCACGAGGAGGGCUGUGGCUGCGAUCCCUCCUCCUCUCUAAGGGUCGUCUGCGCGCGCUGCCAACCGGGGUCAGCAGGGGGCGCGGCCGAGCCCAAGCCCAGAAGGGGAUCGAACUCCGGUCCUUGCGCUGGAAACCACUGAGGGUCUUGCUGGCCUGGAAAGUGAAACCCUUCCUCCUCAGCCUCCUGCGCAGCCCAGCUAUGGAAUUCCAAGACAUAAUUCCAUUUUGUCCUCCGCUCCCAACUGAGACCUCAAUGAUCCGGUGAUGCUGUGAUUCUCCAGGACAGGAAACAUCCUGGGAGCUGCAAACAUCCUGGGAGAACAAACAUCUACUCAGUUCCUCCUUGAUCUUGGACUGUUACACCUUGUUUACCCAGGAUGUACUGAACUCUCUGCGAGUCAUUUGUUACAUUUGUUUCUCCCGAUGUACUGAGUACUGAAUAAAAGGUGCAGUAAGCUGGGGGCUUUCGUCUUUGCCCCCCAGAGCAGCACUGAUCAGACCCAAAGCUCAGCUUCUUCUCAGUCUCAUUUUUCUACCUUUUCUGUAAUUUGCCUUGUGCUGCUGUGGCUCGCAGGAGACUAGGACUUAACUGCAGAGGUUCUGGUAACGUCCCCUUUCCCUGUUCUCUACAACAGUGCUAUCACAUUAUCCUCUCAAUUGUAGGAUUACAGGUUGUGGCAUUUUAUCUAUAGUUUCAAGUGUUAUACAACGAAUCUGUAUUACUUGUAAAGCAAAACUAUAAGUGUGAAAAAGAAAAUCAUCUCUAGCUUUUUCAAAAGCAGAUUAUUUUGGCAUUUCCCCAGAACGGCUGUGUCUCAGCAUGGCACUGUGGGCCAUGAAGGGAUGCUCAGCAUCUGCACAGGGUCGUUCCUUGACUUCCUCUAAUACGGUGGACUGCGUUGUUUUUCUUUCUUUCUUUUUUUUUUUUGGUACCGGGGAUUGGACUGCAUUUUUAAGAAGUUAUUGAGAAUGUAAUUGAGUUUCUUCUAGCUUCUCAUCCCUUCAGGGCUGCUGCCAACCUGGGAAUGUCCUGUCAGCUCGUUUGUGUAUCCUUGUGUCCUUCAGUGAGCCCUCCACUCACCCUAUGUGCAUUCUUCUAGGGACAUGAUAUUUCAACUCAAAAGGCAGCUUUUAAAGGGGAUAUAUUUACUCUGUGCUGCCACUAUGGAAAUCAGUACAGAGGUUCCACAAAAAACUAAAAACAGAGGGGCUGGAGAUUUAGCUCAGUGGUUCCGCCGCCUGC
rnacentral:lncRNA from 1 species